AUCGGUCAUCCGAGGCUUUCUUUGAGUUUCAUAGUGUUUAACUAAAUGAACACAGCUGCUAACUGGGGUGAUUAAACUCUAUCUGUCACGUGACGUGCCAUAGACCUGGGAUCCGUUUUAUAUUCAUUUCAGGUUCAAAGAUCUGAAAAGACGUAAAAGAAGCAGUCACCCCAGUGGUGUUUGUGGAGAGGUAUUCCUUCAGAAAUGGAGAAGACAGAAAGCUGCAGAGGGUGGAUUGCUUGCAGAUAACACUGUAGUUCUCCAUCAUGCACAAGGACUCACCUCUUUAACUCUUUAUUCCCCACACACACAGAAAUGGUUCCUGGAUCAGUGACUUUAGACUUUGCAGAGGUUUGAUUUUUGCAGAAGAUGUAGCUUUGUUUUAAUUAAGCUUAUAAUGAAUACAUUGUGACCUUCCAGCAACCCAUAUACUGUACUGUAUACAGAA